UAUACUAAGCUAGAGGAGGCAGAACUUUAUCUGUGACUCGUCUGCCUUUCCUAGCUGCUUCUUUUUUUAACGUUUCAGGGUUAGAAGUCGAGGCCUUGUGGCUUCUCUCUCAGUUGCCGGUGCGCUGCAUCUGUGUCACAUGCCUCACAAAAUCUGAAACAUGUUCUUUCCUGUCUGCCGAGCGCGCACCGGCGCUCUGUGUGCGCCAGGGCCAACGCUGGCCGACGUUUCCUCUCGAACUGCAACCGCUGAGAGUUGAAAACAUGGUCGUCGGUCGUUCCCCCACGCCUACUUAUGUUUACGCAGAAGUAAGCCCCAUUGAUUUCAGUGGAACUUGCUCCCCAGUCCGUUUGUUUAGGAUUGCAGCCCAAGUGUGUGACUUUCCAGGACGGAACACAAUCCCUGUUAGAAACUUGGCGGCGGCAGCCGGAGAGGUUUUUCGCCUGCGAGCACACAUUUCGAUCACUUUGGGGCCAGCAGAAAGCCACUCAUUGCUCCGCCACCCAUUGGCCCAGAAAAACAGCACCGACUUCCAGCCCCGGCCCCCCUCUGCUGCCGCGCCAGGCUCGACCAUACACACCAAGAGACUCAGGAUGGGUUUUUUGGGCUACAGCCGCCGCACGACCAUAUUAAAAGGUUCCUCAGAAAAUUAAACGGAUUCCUGGACGUCGCGAUGAACAGGCUGGCGCGCUCGUCGGCGUUGAAAUAGCUAAUCGCUCGGGAUGUCGCAGCUCCUAGCAUACUUACCUAGGUAUAUAAACAGCUUAUGCAGGCAACAUAAGAGUGUUUUAAGGACGCUGGAGCGAAAAUUAAGAGCGACGGCUUGGUAUAAUCACCUCUGUAGUCAGUGACAAUAAAAUUCCAUUCAUUUCCAGCCGGCUGGUUUGUGCUCCCCUCCCCCCACGCCCUUCUCUUAUAGCUGAAAACCUAGACACGUCUAAUCCGAAUCAGAUAAAUCCGGGACCCCAAACUUUCCUGACAAGCAUGUUUAGGGUUGCAGCCCUGUCGGAUUACCAGUGGAAGCUGCUGCUCUCGCGAGUAGGGAUCCGAUACCUCUAUAGCGCAAUCCUGUGGCACGUUUCCUCAGAAGCA